AAAUUGAACACAAGGGCCGAUGGGGGAGGGGGAGUGCGUCCUAGACAGGAUUUUGUUUGAUUGUUGUUCAAAAACAGAACACCGGCAUGUGCAGGCUUGCCCCAAUGAAAGAGCACCUGCCCAGCAAAGCAUCGCUGGGGAGGGUUGGAGGAACAGGCUGCUUUUGUGCAGACGGGCCGUUACCAGAUAGCAGGGCAGGAAUGCAGUUACACUACCUGCUGCCUACUGCUGCCAGUGCCACAGCCCACAGGCAGGACCCGCAACUGCUGUGUGGGACCCAGCAGUGCUCAGCUCCCGCUGCUGCAGCGACUGCGUUCCAGGUGGGUCUCUGCACAAGCAGCAUUGCCUCGGCUCUCCGGGAGCAUGAACCUGCAGACCUGCUACACGUGCAGCACCGCAUCCUGGGGCUGCUCCUGGGAUACAUGCUUUUAGAGCAAUGCUGUCAGCUUGCAGAGCAGCAUGGAGAGCCUCAGGUCUGACACCUACCCGGAGAAACUCCUGGAAGGCAUCAGCUGGCUUCGUGCCCAGAAAGCACUGUGCGACGUAACGCUGGAGGCAGAAGGGGUUUGCUUUCCAGCACAUAAGAUCAUUUUAGCAUCAGCAAGUAAUUACUGCAAGAUUCUAUUUGUUGGGAAUGUGACAAGGAUGGGGAGUGUGGAUGGAAGCAUCUGUCUCAAUGCUGUCAGUGCUGCGGGGCUGAGGAAUGUCCUCAGCUUCAUUUACUCCAACAAAUUAGAUCUCUCGUUACAGAACACUGAGGAGACAUUCAGGGCUGCAGAAGCCCUGCUGGUUGGAGAGGUGAUCAAGCUGUGUUUCCGAUUUCUGGAGGGCUGCUUGAGUGGCGAGAACUGCAUGGACGUUCUACAUAUUGCCAAAAAACUUGGCUCCAUGGAGCUGAGACAGAAGGCCAUGUGUUACAUAGGGCAGCAUUACAAACAGCUCCUGGCCACCCCUCAGAGACUGAAGGAUCUCGACAGAGGAACCCUCUGUGAAAUCUUAGACAGGACCUCCACAGAGGGGAGCAGCGAGCUGGAGCUGCUCAGAGCUGCUGUGAGCUGGCUGCAGCAUGACAGCACACGGCUGAAAUACGCUGGAGACAUUUUAAAGCGCAUCAGACUCCCUCUCAUUCCUUUCUGGGAUCUGCAGCGCUACAUCAAGGAAAUCUCUUUGACGAGGCUGGAUUUGGGCUGCUGCCGGCUCCUCCAGGACACCCUGACCCACCACCCCCAGCUGUCCGCCUGGCCACCCUGGCAGACCCGGAACACUGCUGCCCGCUCCGCUUCCACCACACUGCUCAUCACUGGCGGCAGGACCACUGACAACCGCGUCUGCAGUGAGAUGUGGGCUGCAGAGCAGGGCUGUGGCACCUGGCGCAAAGCUGGGGACCUCUGCAUGCCCGUGUACAACCACUGUGUAGUUGUCAUCAAUGACUUCCUCUUUGUCAUGGGGGGACAGAGCACAUUCGAUCCCACAGGAAAGCAGCCGUCAAACAAGGUGUUCCGGUUCAACCCAUGCAAUGCUUCCUGGCUGCAGGUCGCUAGCAUGCUGCAGCGGCGGACACGCUUCCACGCGGACGUGCUGUCUGACCACAUCUUUGUGGUGGGGGGUGGGACGCUGCUGGGGACCCUCACCCACACCGUGGAGUCAUACCAGCCUGCUGCCAACAAGUGGGAGUUUGCAGCUCCCUUCCCCAUACCUAUUGCUGACCACGCAGGCACAACCCACAAGGGAAUCCUCUAUAUUUCAGGGGGCUUCUCAGGAGGCAGAACCUUACCAGACACCUUCAGCUUCCUCCCUCACCUCCGGCGCUGGGCACACAACCAUGCCAUGACCUUUCCCCGCUGCAAUCAUGGGAUGGCUGCUGCCAAAGAUGGGAUCUUUUGCAUCGGAGGAAGGACGCUGAAAGGAAUGGAGCAAUGGAUUCAUGUCAAUGAGACAGAGUAUUACUGUCCUGUAAGCGAUCAGUGGACAACGCUAACACCAUCCCCGUUCAGCCGCUGCCAGUUCAGCAUCACAGCCCACGAGUCAAUGCUCUACCUCACAGGAGACUGCAGGGCCCUGUGAUGACAGCCUUGUCCUCAACCAGCAGAGCAGAGAAUCUCCUUCAGUGAACAUGACUCAACCCGCGACCGCUUGAGCCAGAAUAUAGUAACAAAAUGCAUAGACACGGACAGAAAGCAGCUGCAGCCACAUGGAGGCCAGUGAUAACCAACAGCUCCUUCCUCCUCCAAUCAGAGUAUUUUAAGGCCCUUCUCAAGCAAAGUUAGAACAAUUAUUUCCAUUUUACCUUUUGUUAAGCAGACCCUAGAAAGGAACUGGAUGGCCAGGGACAGCAUCUUCUGUGCCCCUGCACAGCACAGCCUGUGUGACCCCUUGCACAGCAUGCAUUUUGCACCAGGUAAGACUUGAACCAUACAUGCCAGCUGCUCUCUUAGGCACAAUGCCAGAAGCAAGUCAAGCCCCAUCAGCAGCACCAGGCUGACAGCAAAGCAGAAGCCAAGAGUUGCAACAGUGACUGGUGAAUGGGGACCUUUUUCAAAAUAAAUCGGUGUUUGUAACCCUCUAA